CAUAGGUUAAUGAGGCGAACCGGGGGAACUGAAACAUCUAAGUACCCCGAGGAAAAGAAAUCAACCGAGAUUCCCCCAGUAGCGGCGAGCGAACGGGGAGGAGCCCAGAGCCUGAAUCAGUGUGUGUGUUAGUGGAAGCGUCUGGAAAGGCGCGCGAUACAGGGUGACAGCCCCGUACACAAAAAUGCACAUGCUGUGAGCUCGAUGAGUAGGGCGGGACACGUGGUAUCCUGUCUGAAUAUGGGGGGACCAUCCUCCAAGGCUAAAUACUCCUGACUGACCGAUAGUGAACCAGUACCGUGAGGGAAAGGCGAAAAGAACCCCGGCGAGGGGAGUGAAAAAGAACCUGAAACCGUGUACGUACAAGCAGUGGGAGCCUCUUAAUGGGGUGACUGCGUACCUUUUGUAUAAUGGGUCAGCGACUUAUAUUCUGUAGCAAGGUUAACCGAAUAGGGGAGCCGAAGGGAAACCGAGUCUUAACUGGGCGUUAAGUUGCAGGGUAUAGACCCGAAACCCGGUGAUCUAGCCAUGGGCAGGUUGAAGGUUGGGUAACACUAACUGGAGGACCGAACCGACUAAUGUUGAAAAAUUAGCGGAUGACUUGUGGCUGGGGGUGAAAGGCCAAUCAAACCGGGAGAUAGCUGGUUCUCCCCGAAAGCUAUUUAGGUAGCGCCUCGUGAAUUCAUCUCCGGGGGUAGAGCACUGUUUCGGCAAGGGGGUCAUCCCGACUUACCAACCCGAUGCAAACUGCGAAUACCGGAGAAUGUUAUCACGGGAGACACACGGCGGGUGCUAACGUCCGUCGUGAAGAGGGAAACAACCCAGACCGCCAGCUAAGGUCCCAAAGUCAUGGUUAAGUGGGAAACGAUGUGGGAAGGCCCAGACAGCCAGGAUGUUGGCUUAGAAGCAGCCAUCAUUUAAAGAAAGCGUAAUAGCUCACUGGUCGAGUCGGCCUGCGCGGAAGAUGUAACGGGGCUAAACCAUGCACCGAAGCUGCGGCAGCGACACUAUGUGUUGUUGGGUAGGGGAGCGUUCUGUAAGCCUGUGAAGGUGGCCUGUGAGGGUUGCUGGAGGUAUCAGAAGUGCGAAUGCUGACAUAAGUAACGAUAAAGCGGGUGAAAAGCCCGCUCGCCGGAAGACCAAGGGUUCCUGUCCAACGUUAAUCGGGGCAGGGUGAGUCGACCCCUAAGGCGAGGCCGAAAGGCGUAGUCGAUGGGAAACAGGUUAAUAUUCCUGUACUUGGUGUUACUGCGAAGGGGGGACGGAGAAGGCUAUGUUGGCCGGGCGACGGUUGUCCCGGUUUAAGCGUGUAGGCUGGUUUUCCAGGCAAAUCCGGAAAACCAAGGCUGAGGCGUGAUGACGAGGCACUACGGUGCUGAAGUGACAAAUGCCCUGCUUCCAGGAAAAGCCUCUAAGCAUCAGGUAACAUCAAAUCGUACCCCAAACCGACACAGGUGGUCAGGUAGAGAAUACCAAGGCGCUUGAGAGAACUCGGGUGAAGGAACUAGGCAAAAUGGUGCCGUAACUUCGGGAGAAGGCACGCUGAUA
rnacentral:rRNA from 1 species